rnacentral:rRNA from 1 species
AUUGAACGCUGGCGGCAUGCCUUACACAUGCAAGUCGAACGGCAGCGGGCCUUCGGGUGCCGGCGAGUGGCGAACGGGUGAGUAAUGCAUCGGAACGUGCCAUUGAGUGGGGGAUAACGUAGCGAAAGUUACGCUAAUACCGCAUAUUCUGUGAGCAGGAAAGCAGGGGGACCGCAAGGCCUUGCGCUCUUUGAGCGGCCGAUGUCAGAUUAGCUAGUUGGUGAGGUAAAGGCUUACCAAGGCGACGAUCUGUAGCGGGUCUGAGAGGAUGAUCCGCCACACUGGAACUGAGACACGGUCCAGACUCCUACGGGAGGCAGCAGUGGGGAAUUUUGGACAAUGGGCGCAAGCCUGAUCCAGCCAUGCCGCGUGAGUGAAGAAGGCCUC